rnacentral:snRNA from 1 species
AUGAAACUUGAUAACACUACAGGGUCUUUUAUAAGACCCAGUGACCAAUUUUUGCAACCCCUUGCUGGAGCAUGGGGUA